GCCGAAAUAGUUUAAAUGGUUAAACGAAUUCCUUGUAAGACUUAGUUAUUGGUUCAAUUCCAAUUUUUGGCU
rnacentral:tRNA from 1 species